rnacentral:rRNA from 1 species
AUUGAACGCUGGCGGCAGGCCUAACACAUGCAAGUCGAGCGAUCGGCGGACGGGUGAGUAAUGUCUGGGAAACUGCCUGAUGGAGGGGGAUAACUACUGGAAACGGUAGCUAAUACCGCAUACCAUCAGAUGUGCCCAGAUGGGAUGAGCUAGUAGGUGGGGUAACGGCUCACCUAGGCGACGAUCCCUAGCUGGUCUGAGAGGAUGACCAGCCACACGGGAACUGGGACACGGUCCCGACUCCUACGGGAGGCAGCAGGGGGGAAUAUUGCACAAUGGGCGCAAGCCUGAUGCAGCCAUGCCGCGUGUAUGAAGAAGGCCUUCGGGUUGUAAAGUACUUUCAGAGGGGAGGCGUUACCAGCAGAAGAAGCACCGGCUAACGCCGUGCCAGCCGCCGCGGUAAUAC